rnacentral:rRNA from 1 species
UACGGAGGGUGCGAGCGUUGUCCGGAAUCAUUGGGCGUAAAGGGCGCGUAGGUGGCCCGGCAAGCGUGCGGUGAAAGUCGGGGGCUCAACCCCCGAUCGGCCGUGCGAACUGCGGGGCUGGAGCACUGUAGAGGCAGGCGGAAUUCCGGGUGUAGCGGUGGAAUGCGUAGAGAUCCGGAAGAACACCGGUGGCGAAGGCGGCCUGCUGGGCAGUUUGCUGACACUGAGGCGCGACAGCGUGGGGAGCAAACAGGAUUGA